rnacentral:lncRNA from 1 species
AUCAAUGUUCAGUGAUAUUUUAUUUUUAUUUUAAAUUUAGGUUAUUGGUUCUGCAAUUUCAUUCUCUUCAAGAAGAGACACACAUUGGCAAAUUUUAUUUAAGAGCAAAAACAGAGAAAUACACUUUACAAGGUUGAAAGCAAAAAUGCAAGAAAUAGAGAAGAAAUGUAAAAAAUGAGGCAAAUGAGUCAUUGCUUUAAUCUACUGGUAAAAAACAAUCCUGAACUUUUUAGUUCAGAUAUACAAGGAUUUGUCGGAUCUAACCAACCUUCUCAGGUUGAUGCAAGUAGCACACAAGCUGUAAGGGACCAAAAUCUCCCACAUUCUUCUGGAUCAAUCCAUGGCACAAUUUUUGAAAAGGUAUUUAGACUCAUAUCUGACAAAUAUUUCAUCUGCAUUCAAUAGUAAAGAUUAGCACAAUUCAAUCUGCAUAUAAUUAUAGUAAUAACUAGUGGCUGGAGGAACAAAAGUAGACCUAUUCCUCCGCUCAAAAUAGCAACAACAUUAUUGUUAGUCUCAUUCCCUUGAAAACAAGCAAGAUUGAUAUUUGAACCACCCCAUAUUGUGCACUAUUCAUAUUCAUUUUCAAGGAAGCCAUUGCAUUUGGAUCAAUUACUUUUAUUGCCACGCAUGUUCUGACUUACUAUUAUCUUGCCACCAUUAACAUUUCAUGCUUAGGUUAAUAUGAUCAUCUAGAAAAAAUUCUUUAGCGUAGCUCCUCAGCUGUUUGCUGCUGUGAAUUUAUCAUAUUCAUUAAGUAUUUAGCUUUUAAUUAUUUGUAGUCCUUGUCCUAAAAAAGUUUUCCAUUUUAUUUAGUUAGCCAACUACUUAGUGUUUCCCUUUUGAUAUGUCAACAGGGAAUCUUUGAAUGCAUUUUGAUAAUGCCCAUAUUUCAAAUGCAUUUUGAUAAUGCCCAUGAUGUUGGGAGUCUAUUUGGAAACAGCCUCUCUACUCAAAGGUAGGGGUAAGGUCUGCGUACACACUACCCUCCCCAGACCCCACUAAGUGGGAUUAUACUGGGUUGUUGUUUUUGUUGUUUGAUAAUGCCCAUGCUCAAAGCAGGAAGCUUGUUAACCAUGGCUUCUUUGGAUGCAUUUUGAUAAUGUCUCCUCUGCCAGAGUUGUGCUAACAAUGCCCAUCCCAUCCUCAAAAGCUAAUAAUUCUUGUUAACAAUAUUAAAUUGUGAAUCUUGGAAGUUGUAGAAUCAUAUUAUACGGGACGGAACUAUCUUUUGUGAUUAUGCAAAAUAUGGGAUGAGUAUUUAGGUGAGUGAAAUAGGACUACUAUAUUUUAUUUAUUAUACUCAUUAGUCAAUUUUUAUUUAUAUAUGACCGAAAAAUAUGCAAAAUAUGGUGCUACUAUAUGCUAUCCUAGUCUUUGUUCGUCUUAAAGUUUAGUUUCUGUUUAAUUAUUAAUUCCUUUUUAUGUGUCGGAGAAAGCGGAUGAUACAAUUGGAAAUGGUGUCCGAAAGUCAAUUUGAUCUUAAUGUGUG